rnacentral:rRNA from 1 species
UAGGGAAUAUUCCACAAUGAGCGAAAGCUUGAUGGAGCGACACAGCGUGCACGAUGAAGGCCCUCGGGUUGUAAAGUGCUGUUGCAAGGGAAGAACAGUUAGUUGAGGAAAUGCUUCUAAUCUGACGGUACCUUGUUAGAAAGCGAUGGCUAAUAUGUGCCAGCAGCCGCGGUAAUACAUAGGUCGCAAGCGUUAUCCGGAAUUAUUGGGCGUAAAGCGUUCGUAGGCUGUUUAUUAAGUCUGGAGUCAAAUCCCAGGGCUCAACCCUGGCUCGCUUUGGAUACUGGUAAACUAGAGUUAGAUAGAGGUAAGCGGAAUUCCAUGUGAGCGGUGAAAUGCGUAGAUAUAUGGAAGAACCCAGGCGAAGGCAGCUUACUGGGUC